rnacentral:rRNA from 1 species
GCUUCAGGAAUCCCGCCCACGGGGAUGCCUCGGGCAACGGGGAGCGACGAAGGGUGUGGCCCGCCACAGAAGGCCCCGGGAGCCGCGGCGCAGGCUGCGAUCCGGGGUGCCUGAAUCGGGGAACCGCCGGUCCGUCAUGGGACCGGACGGCCGGCCAGGGGCCGGCCGGGCUCAAACCGGGGAAGCGAACCAUCGUACGUACCCGGGACGCCGAAGCAAGCAGCGAGCCCCGGAGUAGUGGCGAGCGAAACGGGGUCAGGCCCAAACGGCCGGGAACUACCGCCAGGCGGGGCGGCCCGGCCGGGUGCGGCCGGAUCGCGGCGGGGGCCGCCUGCCCCGGCCUCCGGGACCCGGCGGGGGCGACGGAAGCGCGCUGGAACGCGCCAUCCGAGAGGGUGACAAUCCCGUACGCCGCUGCCGCCGGGCCCGGAUCCGGCCCGAGUACCGCGCCGGCACGGGCGCGGGAAGCGGGGAGGACCACCUUCCAAGGCCGGGCGUCGUCGUUGCACCGAUAGCGCAGAGUACCGUGAGGGAACGGUGAAAAGCCCCCGGGGGGCGCGUGCAAGAGACCUGAAACCGUGGGCGGGCAGGCCGUCAGCGGCGGGCCCCGGGGAGCCGGGGCCGGCUCAUGGCGUGCUUCUGGAAGAAUGAACCGGCGAGUGGUCCGGGCUCGCGAGGUUAAGCGCCGGGGGCGCGGAGCCGGAGCGCAAGCGAGUCCGCAGGGGGCGUCAGUGGGUCCGGGCCGACCCGAAGCCGCGUGAUCUAGCCCCCGCCAGGCUGAAGGCGCGGUAAGACGCGCUGGAGGGCCGCACCCAUGUUCGUUGCAAAGGGCUGGGAGGAGCGGGGGCUAGGGGUGAAAUGCCAAGCGAACGCGGGGCUAGCUGGUUCUCCCCGAAAUCGCUGGAGGGCGAGCCGUGGGGAUCCUUGCCGGCGGGGUAGCGCACUGUGACUGGAAGGGGGUCGCGAGGCCUACUGCCCGGUCGCAAACGGCGAAGUCGCCGGCCGGCUCCACGCGUCAGUCGGUGGGGGAUAAGCUCCAUCGACGAGAGGGCAACCGCCCAGACCGUCCGCUAAGGGCCCCAAGUGCCCGCUGAGUGGGAAAGGUCGUCGGGCGCCGCAGACAGCCAGGAGGUUGGCUUAGAAGCAGCCACCCUCGAACGAGUGCGUAACAGCUCACUGGCCGGAGGCGCCCGGCGCCGCCAAUGGACGGGCUAAGGGGGGUGCCGAUGCGGCGGCUGGUCCGCGUAGGCGGACCGGGGUAGGGGAGCGUCCGGCGCGGGCGAAGCGGGCGCGGCAAGCGCCCGUGGACCGCGCUGGAGUGCGAAUGCCGGUAUGAGUAGCAGCGAAGGCGAGUGAGAAUCUCGCCCACCGAAAGCCGCAGGGUUCCGCAGGCAGGAUCGUCCGCUGCGGGGGAGGCGGGCCUAAGCCGAGGCGGCGGGUGCCGCGUAGGCGACCGGACAGCCGGUGGCGAUUCCGGCCCCGGGGCCGGGCGGCGAAGGCCGGGGGACGCCGGCGGUACCAGGCGGGUCCGUGUUGGUCAUCGGACCCGGGCGGUGCCGCGGGCCGCGAAAAGCCCGGACCGGAGCCCGGUCCCGUCCGUACUGCAAACCAACCCAGGUCGGCCGGGCGAGGAGCCCGAGGUGUGCGAGUGAUCUCCCGUUAAGGAACUCGGCCAAUUGCCCCCGUAACUUCGGGAGAAGGGGGCCCGGCGGCGGACGCCGCCGGGGGCACAAAGCAGGCCCAAGCGACUGUUUACCACAAACACCGGUCCCUGCGAAGUCGCAAGACGCCGUAUAGGGGCUGACGCCUGCCCGGUGCUGGACGGUGAAGGGGAGGCGUGGGCGCGCCGAACCGAAGCCCCAGUCAACGGCGGCCGUAACUAUAACGGUCCUAAGGUAGCGAAAUUCCUUGUCGGGUAAGUUCCGACCCGCACGAAAGGCGGAACGACUUGGGCACUGUCUCAACGGGAGGCUCGGCGAAAUUGCAAGCCCGGUGAAGAUGCCGGGGAUCGACGACGGGACAGAAAGACCCCGUGGAGCUUGACUGUAGCCUGCCAUGGAGCGUCGGCGGCGCGUGUACAGGAUAGGUGGGACGCGGCGAAGCCCGCCCGCCAGGGCGGGGGGAGCGGCCGGUGGGAUACCACCCUCGCGCGGCCGGGGCUCUCACCGACGGCGAGACCCGCCGCGGGACCGUGGCAGGGGGGCAGUUUGACUGGGGCGGUCGCCUCCUAAAAGGUAACGGAGGCGCCCCAUGGUACCCUUGGCACGGUUGGACACCGUGCGGGACGUGCAAAGGCAGAAGGGUGCUUGACUGCGAGCCCGACGGGGCGAGCAGGGCCGAAAGGCGGGCUUAGUGAUCCGAUGGCCCGGCGUGGGACGGCCAUCGCGCAUCGGACAAAAGCUACCCCGGGGAUAACAGGCUGAUCGUUCCCGAGAGUCCGCAUCGACGGGACGGUUUGGCACCUCGAUGUCGGCUCAUCGCAUCCUGGGGCUGGAGUCGGUCCCAAGGGUUGGGCUGUUCGCCCAUUAAAGCGGUACGUGAGCUGGGUUCAGAACGUCGUGAGACAGUUCGGUCCCUCUCCAUCGUCGACGCAGGAUCCGUGCGGGGGGCGUCCGCUAGUACGAGAGGACCGCGGAGGACGGACCGCUGGUGUGCCCAGUUGCCCCGCCCGGGGCAGCGCUGGGAAGCUAGGUCCGGCACGGCGAAGCGCUGACCGCAUCUAAGCGCGAAGCCGGCCCCAAGAGGACGGAUCCGGGGGUGCUGGGGGAACCCGGCGCCCCCGACCACCGGGAGACGACCGGAGGCCGACGUGCCGUGGACACCGGGUAACCGGCGCAGCGAGCACGCCCGGCAGGUCGGCGGGAAGCUGCU